AAAGUCGUAACAAGGUAACCGUAGGUGAACCUGCGGUUGGAUCAUUAUAAAAUAAUGGUUCUCUAGGUUGAGUUUUGAACUUUUUCGGUUCAGAAUUCCUUAGAGAAUUUCAACAACACUUUGUGCACCGUAAAUGUUUUUCGAGUACUAUACUUAUAUAGUAUAUAAACCCAGUACUCGGCAGUAUUUAAAACCCCUUUUUAUAUUUUUGUCUGAUUUUUUAUGAAAAUAAAAAGAAAACAACUUUUGACAACGGAUCUCUUGGCUCUC
rnacentral:misc_RNA from 1 species